UACGUAGGGGGCUAGCGUUGUCCGGAAUUAUUGGGCGUAAAGAGCUCGUAGGCGGUCUGUCGCGUCUGCUGUGAAAACUCAGGGCUUAACCCUGAGCUUGCAGUGGGUACGGGCAGACUAGAGUGCGGUAGGGGAGAUCGGAAUUCCUGGUGUAGCGGUGAAAUGCGCAGAUAAUCAGGAGGAACACCGGUGGCGAAGGCGGAUCUCUGGGCCGUAACUGACGCUGAGGAGCGAAAGCAUGGGGAGCGAACAGGA
rnacentral:rRNA from 1 species